UCACGCCAUUUUCAUUUUAGCUUGAGCUCAAGCUUUUGACCUCCGAUUUGAGCACCGAGACGAGCGCCGAUCAUCUUUUCGAUCACGUAUCUAAGUAGGUAAGAUCUCUACCUACGUUUUGAUGGUUUUCUUUUCGAUUUUCGUCGACGUCGAAAAACGUCGAUUCUCGACUUUAUUUUGAAACGACGUCGGAUCGUCGUGCAAUUUUAGUAUGUUGUUCUUGGGUAGAUGUUGAGCAUGUUUAAUGAAGGGAGUAAGAACGGAA
rnacentral:lncRNA from 1 species